GAUGAACGCUAGCUACAGGCUUAACACAUGCAAGUCGAGGGGCAGCAUGGUCUUAGCUUGCUAAGGCCGAUGGCGACCGGCGCACGGGUGAGUAACACGUAUCCAACCUGCCGUCUACUCUUGGACAGCCUUCUGAAAGGAAGAUUAAUACAAGAUGGCAUCAUGAGUCCGCAUGUUCACAUGAUUAAAGGUAUUCCGGUAGACGAUGGGGAUGCGUUCCAUUAGGUAGUAGGCGGGGUAACGGCCCACUAGCCUACGAUGGAUAGGGGUUCUGAGAGGAAGGCCCCCCACAUUGGAACUGAGACACGGUCCAAACUCCUACGGGAGGCAGCAGUGAGGAAUAUUGGUCAAUGGACGAGAGUCUGAACCAGCCAAGUAGCGUGCAGGAAGACGGCCCUAUGGGUUGUAAACUGCUUUUAAUAAGGGAAUAAAGUGAGUCUCGUGAGACUUUUUGCAUGUACCUUAUGAAUAAGGACCGGCUAAUUCCGUGCCAG
rnacentral:rRNA from 1 species